GCCGGGUUCGCCGCCGGGAGCUGGGCCGGGUCACGGAGUUGUCCCCUGACAGACUUCUCCCUCUGGGCAGCGAGCAGGGCACCGUCCGCCACCUCAGGAACCGGAAAGAGAAUCAAUAACUUCAGGAAGAAAAAGAGAAAUAUACAAUGGAUGCCUGAACUUCUGUUCAAAAUUCAUCCACGCCCUCUGGCUGGAAUGGGAAAUGGAAGUGCGCAACGGACAGUGAAGGAAGGUGAAUCUCAGCUGGGAUUUUCCAUCAGACAAACAUAAACAUCCUUAGUACCAGCAACAUCCACUAAGCAUUACUACACGAGUAACUCAGAACUCAUCUGGAAUUGACUGGGGUUAAGAGGACAGAUGCUCAGGGGCUCUCUCAGAAGUACUUUACUGAGACAAUCAAGUUAGAACCAUUCUCUGACUACAGGAUGAGUGCGUGGCAUCAGA